UCUCUCUCUGCCUGACUCCAUUCCUGCCUCAUGCAACCCGGAGAUGGAGGACUGCCCUCCCAGCCCAUUCCGCCCUUCCUGUCCAAGAUCUAUGAGGAAACUGAGGAAGAAAGUGGCUAUGCUCAUUUGCCCAGCAUCAUAUAAGCUAGGGAGUGACAGAACCCAGGAUUUGAACACUGACUGUCUGACAUCAGAACUAGUGCUUCUGGUUUCAGAAAAUCUGCUUUUCCUAACUAUAGAAAAGAACAUUGCUGGCCAUUACAUUAAAGUAAGCAAUGGGAAAAUAACUAUGCAAAGCUGCAAGCAGGAAAAUAAUUUUCACUUCACUUGAGAACUGAGGGAACCAGCCAGACAAAGGCGAGGGAGAACACUCGCUAAGCCCCAUAGGGCUGGACCCUGCAAGGCAUCUGUGGCAUUUUGGGAAGAGCACUGAACUUAAGAGUCAGAAUAUCAAGAUGGAGUCUCGCUCUGUUACCCAGGCUGGAGUGCGUGGUACAACCUCAGCUCACUGCAACCUCUGCCUCUUGGCUCCAAGCAAUUCUCUUGCCUCAGCCUCCUGAGUAGCUGGGAUUACAGGCACCUGCCACCACACCCAGCUAAUUUUUUUGUAUGUUUAGUAGAGACGGGGUUUCACCAUGUUGGCCAGGCUGAUCUCAAACUCCUCACCUCAAGUGAUCCACCCACCUCAGCUUCCGAAAGUGCUAGGAUUACAGGCAUGAGCCACCACGACCGGCCCUCACAUUCUUUUCCGAAUCACAGCUUCCAGGGAUAGGGAGAUGGAAAUCAGAAGAUUGAUCCACGGCAAACAGUGAACUGAGCACAUUAGCGCAAACAUGGAAGAAACAUAGCAACAAGGUGUUGCUGGCCAUGCCUGGAAGCCAGGCAGAGUUGUUGGGGAAUUCAGCCCAGCCCUGUCAGAACUUUUGUUAUUUUAAGAAGCCCGAUUCUUACAAAGUUUCUUUUUUUUUUUCUUUUUUUUUUCUUUUUUUACUACUGACAAUUAUUUUACUAUGAGAGGCAAACGAAUCUGUGACCACAUUUCAAGGCAUAGGUCACAAGUAUGCCAGUGAAUGUUGGUCCAUGAGAGAAGAAACCAGAAGGGAUCAAAACGCCCAGCUCAUCAGAGGAGUGGGGGUGAAGGCAGGAAUUAAGUAACAGGACUAGGCUCUCUAGCCCAGGCAGCAGCAGCCAGAAAGGAGGUGGAUUCUGCCAGGAAGUGUUAGAGGCUGGGUUUUUCUGUGUUGUGACUACCUCCUCAUUCUGUCCUUUCUGGUUCUCAGGGUGGCUGAGGCUGCUCCAAGGCAAGAUGGUGAGCGAGGUUCUGAAGGAAGAGGGAUGCCACUGUUGUCCUUAUUCCCCUUAAGCUAAACCAAAAGCGGUACUUUAAACUCAAUAUGUUUAUCUUCUUCAAAGUGAGUUAGCAAUUGCAAUAUAUUUCAAUAGUAACUGCCCAUACUGCGAACCAAACAAUGUCGGUUUCUGAGACUUUUUUCAUUAGUAAAAAAAUCGCAUUUUACCACUUUCACUUCUUUUCUUAGACUUACUGCAGUUGACCCUUAAACAAUAUGGGCUUGAACUGCAUGGGUCCAUUGAUAGAGGGAUUUUUCUCUCAGUAAAAGUUACACUGAGUGUGCCUCACCCUCCUGCUUCCCCUUCAACCUCCUCCACAUCUUCCCCCUCUGUCACCCCGAGACAGCAAGACCAACCCCUCCUCUUCCUCCUCCUCAGCCUACUCAACGUGAAGAUGGCAAGGAAGAAGACCUGUAUGAUGAUCCACUUGCCGUUAAUAAAUAGUAAAUCUAUUUUCUCUUUUU